UACGACGGGGGCUAGCGUUGCUCGGAAUUACUGGGCGUAAAGCGCACGUAGGCGGCUUUCUAAGCCAGGGGUGAAAUCCUGGAGCUCAACUCCAGAACUGCCUUUGAUACUGGAGAGCUUGAGUCCGGAAGAGGUGAGUGGAACUCCGAGUGUAGAGGUGAAAUUCGUAGAUAUUCGGAAGAACACCAGUGGCGAAGGCGGCUCACUGGUCCGGUACUGACGCUGAGGUGCGAAAGCGUGGGGAGCAAACAGG
rnacentral:rRNA from 1 species